rnacentral:rRNA from 1 species
UACGUAGGGUGCGAGCGUUGUCCGGAAUUAUUGGGCGUAAAGAGCUUGUAGGCGGUUUGUCGCGUCUGCCGUGAAAUUUCGAGGCUCAACCUCGAACUUGCGGUGGGUACGGACAGACUAGAGUGUGGUAGGGGAGACUGGAAUUCCUGGUGUAGCGGUGAAAUGCGCAGAUAUCAGGAGGAACACCGGUGGCGAAGGCGGGUCUCUGGGCCGAUACUGACGCUGAGGAGCGAAAGCGUGGGGAGCAAACAGG